UAAGGCGCUAUAGCCAAGUGGUUACGGCGACAGAUUAGAAUCAUAUGAUCUGUUCCUCUUUGAGGGCGCAGGUUCGAGUCCUGCUGGCGUCGCUUUGUUUU
rfam:Postia placenta Mad-698-R POSPLscaffold_83_Cont4165, whole genome shotgun sequence.